rnacentral:rRNA from 1 species
UCAUGCAAGUCGAGCGAACAGAUAAGGAGCUUGCUCCUUUGAAGUUAGCGGCGGACGGGUGAGUAACACGUGGGUAACCUACCUAUAAGACUGGGAUAACUUCGGGAAACCGGAGCUAAUACCGGAUAACAUUUAGAACCGCAUGGUUCUAAAGUGAAAGAUGGUUUUGCUAUCACUUAUAGAUGGACCCGCGCCGUAUUAGCUAGUUGGUAAGGUAACGGCUUACCAAGGCGACGAUACGUAGCCGACCUGAGAGGGUGAUCGGCCACACUGGAACUGAGACACGGUCCAGACUCCUACGGGAGGCAGCAGUAGGGAAUCUUCCGCAAUGGGCGAAAGCCUGACGGAGCAACGCCGCGUGAGUGAUGAAGGGUUUCGGCUCGUAAAACUCUGUUAUUAGGGAAGAACAAAUGUGUAAGUAACUGUGCACAUCUUGACGGUACCUAAUCAGAAAGCCACGGCUAACUACGUGCCAGCAGCCGCGGUAAUACGUAGGUGGCAAGCGUUAUCCGGAAUUAUUGGGCGUAAAGCGCGCGUAGGCGGUUUCUUAAGUCUGAUGUGAAAGCCCACGGCUCAACCGUGGAGGGUCAUUGGAAACUGGGAAACUUGAGUGCAGAAGAGGAAAGUGGAAUUCCAUGUGUAGCGGUGAAAUGCGCAGAGAUAUGGAGGAACACCAGUGGCGAAGGCGACUUUCUGGUCUGUAACUGACGCUGAUGUGCGAAAGCGUGGGGAUCAAACAGGAUUAGAUACCCUGGUAGUCCACGCCGUAAACGAUGAGUGCUAAGUGUU